rnacentral:rRNA from 2 species
UUAAGUGACUAAGCGUAC